GCGCCAGACUCCUACGGGAGGCAGCAGUGAGGAAUAUUGGUCAAUGGCCGAGAGGCUGAACCAGCCAAGUCGCGUGAGGGAAGACGGCCCUACGGGUUGUAAACCUCUUUUGUCAGGGAGCAAUGGCGUCCACGUGUGGGCGUAUGGAGAGUACCUGAAGAAAAAGCAUCGGCUAACUCCGUGCCAGCAGCCGCGGUAAUACGGAGGAUGCGAGCGUUAUCCGGAUUUAUUGGGUUUAAAGGGUGCGUAGGCGGGACCUUAAGUCAGCGGUAAAAUUGCGGUGCUCAACGCCGUAGAGCCGUUGAAACUGGGGUUCUUGAGUGAGCGAGAAGUAUGCGGAAUGCGUGGUGUAGCGGUGAAAUGCUUAGAUAUUGCGCAGAACUCCGAUUGCGAAGGCAGCAUACCGGCGGCGAUCUGACGCUGAGGCACGAAAGCGUGGGUAUCGAACAGGAUUAGAUACCCGAGUA
rnacentral:rRNA from 1 species